ensembl:lncRNA novel transcript
GCUAACUCUCUUUUCCGACUCAGCCCGCCUGUACCCAGGUGAUUAAAAAGCUUUAUUGCUCACACAAAGCCUCUUUGGUGGUCUCUUCACACAGACCCAUGUGAAAUUUGGUGCCGUGACUCAGAUCGGGGGACCUCCCUUGGGAGAUCAAUCCCUGGUCCUCCUGCUCUUUGCUACAUGAGAAAGAUCCACCUACGACCUCUGGUCCUCAGACCAACCAGUCCAAGGAAUAUCUCACCAAUUUUAAAUUGGCUUAGCAGCUGAAGACUGAGGCUGCCCGAACACCUCAGAAGCCUCCUGGACCAUCACAGAUGCUUACAGUGGAGGAAGACAGCAAUGUCAGACCUCUGAACCCAAGCAUGCACGUAUUCAUCCAGAUUGCCUGAAGUAACUGAAGAAUGACAAAAGAAGUGAAAAUGGCCAGUUCCUGCCUUAAUUGAUGACAUCACCUUGUGAAAUUCCUUUUCCUGGCUCAUCCUGGCUCAAAAGCUCCCCCACUGAGCACCUUAUGACCCCCACCCCUGCCAGCCAGAGAACAACCUCCUUUGACUGUAAUUUUCCACUACCUACCCAAAUCCUAUAAAACAGCCCCACCCCUAUCUCCCUUCACUGGCUUUCUUUUCGGACUCAGCUUGCCUGCACCCAGGUGAAAUAAACAGCUUUAUUGCUCACACAAA